AAGUCCCGGGAGGUGAUGAGCUCACCGUCCAGCAAGGCUGAUUUUCAUCUCCUAAGUAUAGACAAAAUUGCAUUCUUGGAAUAUACAUAAAUCCUUAUUUUGGGGUUGGCCGAUUUGUGCCGACAUCUGAUGUUGACAUGGGUUUUUUUUUUGUUUUGUUUUUUUGCCUGUCUGUGUAGCUUCGGGAUGGCGGUAGAUCGGGAAGGCCGGUCACUUGGCCAAUGUCAACAUGAACAACGCUGGCCUGAGAGAAGGAGAGGGUGGGCUUGGAAAGUCCAGGAUCUGGGAGUCGACGCCUCCAGCCAGAGCUCACGGAAAAGAGCGGGUAGCCCUGAGGAGUCACUGGAGGACACCCGCCUUUUCAUGUACUUUCCCUCAGCUAUUAAAUCUUCAUAAAUUUCUGCUGGAAGCUCAAGAGGAGGCUGGUGUGCAGGACUAUGGACUCGGCACAAGCAAGUGGAAAGCGGCGGGCUCCAACAAGGCUGAGGCUUCAUUUCCCCAUCUGGGCCUUAAGUGCAAGGCUGGUCAUCAGACCUGAUGGUCAUCAACUCCCGACCAGAGCCUCAGCGCACCUCAGAUCCACGCCAGCCUCCCCGAUGCCGGAUGGAAGCUGGGCCUCUGCUUGCACCUGGGCAUCACUGCCCUUGGACCCAUGACCGCCUGGGUCCACACUCCACGUGGCGUUCCUUUCCUGAGCGUGUCCGAGCGUCCUGUCACCCCUCCGUCACCCACGUCUGCCUGGAGUCCAAAGACAGGAUUCAGAC